rnacentral:lncRNA from 1 species
UAAGGUAUUGACAUCGAACCAUCAUAAAUCUCUUUGCUUAUGUGUAUGUGAUCUUAUUCUCAAGUUAUUUAUUUUUUGCAUUUAUAUUUCUACUUAUUAAUUCACUAUAUUCAUUGCAUACAUUUUCUUGUUCAAUACAUACUUGUCUAAAUUUUUGAAAGUUUUAAGAAAUCCAAUUCACCCUCUCUUUUGGAUUGUAUCUUUAAGCAACACCACUGGUAUGACUAUGGCCAGCGACGGUUGGGACUAUCAUAGUGUAGUCUAAAGAUCCUACAUCGAUGGUCGAUGGUGACCACCUGCACUGAAAAAAUAGAAAGAGGAGGGGC